CACGACUUUUUUGAACGCACAGUUUACUCCAUAGGAUUAUAAUGUAAACCAAAAGCUGGCAGCUUAAAAAAAAGACGGCAAGUGUGAACAUAGCCUUAGGCUACAAAGCUCAACAUUACAAUGGAGUAUUUGAAAGCCUCUGUGACCUGUAACACCACA